UACGAAGGGGGCUAGCGUUGCUCGGAAUCACUGGGCGUAAAGGGCGCGCAGGCGGCUGCUCAAGUCAGGCGUGAAAGGCCUGGGCUCAACCCGGGAAUUGCGCUUGAGACUGGGCUGGCUUGAGUGCGGGAGAGGAUGGUGGAAUUCCGCGUGUAGCAGUGAAAUGCGUAGAUAUGCGGAGGAACACCGAUGGCGAAGGCAAUCCCCUGGACCUGUACUGACGCUCAUGCACGAAAGCGUGGGGAGCAAACAGG
rnacentral:rRNA from 1 species